CGAUUCCGUAAGUAGCGGCGAGCGAACGCGGAUUAGCCCAAACCAAUAAAGUUUUCUUUAUUGGGGUUGCGGACAUAUCAUAACGAAGAGGUAUCGUAAUUGAAGAGGUUUGGAAAGACUCACCACAGAAGGUAAUAGUCCUGUAUGUUAAACGAGAAGACUUCAGAUAUGAUCCAGAGUACCACGGGACACGUGAAACCCUGUGGGAAGCAG
rnacentral:rRNA from 1 species